AGAACGAACGCUGGCGGCACGCCUAACACAUGCAAGUCGAGCGCCCAGCAAUGGGAGCGGCGGACGGGUGAGUAACACGUGGGAAUAUGCCUUUCGGUACGGAACAACUCAGGGAAACUUGAGCUAAUGCCGUAUACGCCCUUACGGGGAAAGAUUUAUCGCCGAAAGAUUAGCCCGCGUCUGAUUAGCUAGUUGGUGAGGUAAUGGCUCACCAAGGCUUCGAUCAGUAGCUGGUUUGAGAGAACGACCAGCCACACUGGGACUGAGACACGGCCCAGACUCCUACGGGAGGCAGCAGUGGGGAAUCUUGCGCAAUGGGCGAAAGCCUGACGCAGCAACGCCGCGUGAGAGAUGAAGGUCUUCGGGUUGUAAACCUCUUUCAAGCAGGGACGAUAGUGACGGUACCUGCAGAAGAAGCUCCGGCAACUACGUGCCAGCAGCCGC
rnacentral:rRNA from 1 species